GAAUUAAUUUCUAGUUUGGAUAGAGUACAGAAUUCCUAAUUCUGGGGUCGGAUGUUCGAAUCAUCUCGGGCGCGCCA
rnacentral:tRNA from 1 species